UAUAAAAGAUGCAUUCCUUCGAAUGGAACUCUUUUUUUCCCUUUAUUGGAAAAUUUCAAUUGCCUUUACCAUAUGUCCAAUCUUAGCUAUUAAGAAGAAUUAGUGCAUUCAUAUAUUUUAAUUAUGCAAAAAGUUGAAACAUCAUUAAGGUUGGAUGCAAAUUAAUUGUGAAAGUUUCAAUUUUUCACUUAAAAUAAAAUUAAAAAGACCCAGUAUUUUCUUA